CGCUGAGCUGCAGAGCAAGGAGCAGUAAGUCAUCGUUUGCCGCAGCAUCACCAGUGCUGCCUUUGGGUAGAAAUGAAAGUCCUGUAGAAAUGUAAGCAGCAAUGUUACACGGAUUGCUGUACCAACAGAAGCCAUCUGCGUCUCUUUGGCUUACAGCACCUGGAGAACUCACAGAGCACACGCUGUUGGCCAGGCAGUAAGGCUGCAGUGCCAGCGGGAUAACCCAGAGCCCCCCCAGCCCCGCUGGGUCCUGGCAGGGAGCAGCCACUCUUCCUUAUGCCCAUCACGAGGCCAGGAGCUGUAAUGCAGCAGCUGCUGGAACUGGGUGUGAAGUGCGUCUCUUCUGCCACACAGCCAGCCCUGCGCUCCACCACAUCCCCCACGAGCGACCCAUAUCCCAUCCCUGCUGUACCCAUGUAUUUCAGCCACGUUUCCAUACCUGGAGGACGUAGCUAAGGCGAUCAGCAAAGCUUGCAGUAUCCCCUUAAUGAAAGCAUAGGGGUUUUUCCUGGUGAUGAGUAUAAAGAGCAGAGGAUCUUUCCAGCAAUGAGAAACACGAUGCCGAAGGGGAAGUACCUACCAAGAAUAGGGACCAGUGUUCAUGAGGACCGAGCAAUGCAGCAGCGAUGGCAGCUGUGCUGCGCUGAGUCCAUUGCUCACAACAGAUGCGUGGGGCUGUAGGAUGGGCAUCAGCACCAGCGAGCAGGUGAGGAGAGAGCAGAAGCAAUGACAGCCCGACUCACCAGACGGCCAUGGAGACGAUUUUCAUCACGGCUUCGUUCAGACACUGGCACACGUUGACCAGCGGCGCUCCUCGCUCACCCAUCUUUCCCAGGAGGAGCCCUACAGCCCAACACAUGGACCCGUGCUACUGAGCGGUACCCGGUGCGCAGCGCCCGUGCCCUCGGGCUGUGGCUGGAGGAAUCUAGAGAGGGAUGCACUGGCUUUUUGCUGACAGCUCCGUCGGUGCCCCCGGUGCUGCCCUCACCGCGCUGCCCCCGCACCCCAAAUCCUCGGAUUGGCGCUCGGGCUCCUGAUACGCUGAGCUCAAGCUCCUCGCCCUCACCUCUCCCCAUAAUCCGCCCCACGCUGAUCCUAUCGCCUCCCACUCUUUCCCCCCCGCUCCCUCCUCCUCCCGCAGGUACCUAUGGUGGCGGAGAAGAUGACGAUCCCAAGGAC